rnacentral:rRNA from 1 species
AGCGUACACGGUGGAUGCCCUGGCAGUCAGAGGCGAUGAAGGACGUGCUAAUCUGCGAAAAGCGUCGGUAAGGUGAUAUGAACCGUUACAGCCGGCGAUGUCCGAAUGGGGAAACCCAGUGUGAUUCGUCACACUAUCGUUAACUGAAUACAUAGGUUAACGAGGCGAACCGGGGGAACUGAAACAUCUAAGUACCCCGAGGAAAAGAAAUCAACCGAGAUUCCCCCAGUAGCGGCGAGCGAACGGGGAGCAGCCCAGAGUCUGAAUCAGCUUGUGUGUUAGUGGAACGGUCUGGAAAGUCCGACGGUACAGGGUGAUAGUCCCGUACACCAAAAUGCACAGGCUGUGAACUCGAAGAGUAGGGCGGGACACGUGGUAUCCUGUCUGAAUAUGGGGGGACCAUCCUCCAAGGCUAAAUACUCCUGACUGACCGAUAGUGAACCAGUACCGUGAGGGAAAGGCGAAAAGAACCCCGGCGAGGGGAGUGAAAAAGAACCUGAAACCGUGUACGUACAAGCAGUGGGAGCACCUUCGGGUGUGACUGCGUACCUUUUGUAUAAUGGGUCAGCGACUUAUAUUCUGUAGCAAGGUUAACCGUAUAGGGGAGCCGCAGGGAAACCGAGUCUUAACUGGGCGUUAAGUUGCAGGGUAUAGACCCGAAACCCGGUGAUCUAGCCAUGGGCAGGUUGAAGGUUGGGUAACACUAACUGGAGGACCGAACCGACUAAUGUUGAAAAAUUAGCGGAUGACUUGUGGCUGGGGGUGAAAGGCCAAUCAAACCGGGAGAUAGCUGGUUCUCCCCGAAAGCUAUUUAGGUAGCGCCUCGUGAACUCAUCUUCGGGGGUAGAGCACUGUUUCGGCUAGGGGGUCAUCCCGACUUACCAACCCGAUGCAAACUACGAAUACCGAAGAAUGUUAUCACGGGAGACACACGGCGGGUGCUAACGUCCGUCGUGAAGAGGGAAACAACCCAGACCGCCAGCUAAGGUCCCAAAGUCACAGUUAAGUGGGAAACGAUGUGGGAAGGCACAGACAGCCAGGAUGUUGGCUUAGAAGCAGCCAUCAUUUAAAGAAAGCGUAAUAGCUCACUGGUCGAGUCGGCCUGCGCGGAAGAUGUAACGGGGCUAAACUGUGCACCGAAGCUGCGGCAGCGACACUAUGUGUUGUUGGGUAGGGGAGCGUUCUGUAAGCCUGCGAAGGUGGCCUGUGAGGGUUGCUGGAGGUAUCAGAAGUGCGAAUGCUGACAUAAGUAACGAUAAUGCGGGUGAAAAGCCCGCACGCCGGAAGACCAAGGGUUCCUGUCCAACGUUAAUCGGGGCAGGGUGAGUCGACCCCUAAGGCGAGGCCGAAAGGCGUAGUCGAUGGGAAACAGGUUAAUAUUCCUGUACUUGGUGUUACUGCGAAGGGGGGACGGAGAAGGCUAUGUUAGCCGGGCGACGGUUGUCCCGGUUUAAGCAUGUAGGCGGAGGUUCCAGGUAAAUCCGGUACCUUUUAACGCUGAGGUGUGAUGACGAGGCACUACGGUGCUGAAGUAACAAAUGCCCUGCUUCCAGGAAAAGCCUCUAAGCAUCAGGUAACAUUAAAUCGUACCCCAAACCGACACAGGUGGUCAGGUAGAGAAUACCAAGGCGCUUGAGAGAACUCGGGUGAAGGAACUAGGCAAAAUGGUGCCGUAACUUCGGGAGAAGGCACGCUGAUAUGUAGGUGAAGCCCCUGCGGGUGGAGCUGAAAUCAGUCGAAGAUACCAGCUGGCUGCAACUGUUUAUUAAAAACACAGCACUGUGCAAACACGAAAGUGGACGUAUACGGUGUGACGCCUGCCCGGUGCCGGAAGGUUAAUUGAUGGGGUUAUCCGUAAGGAGAAGCUCUUGAUCGAAGCCCCGGUAAACGGCGGCCGUAACUAUAACGGUCCUAAGGUAGCGAAAUUCCUUGUCGGGUAAGUUCCGACCUGCACGAAUGGCGUAAUGAUGGCCAGGCUGUCUCCACCCGAGACUCAGUGAAAUUGAACUCGCUGUGAAGAUGCAGUGUACCCGCGGCAAGACGGAAAGACCCCGUGAACCUUUACUAUAGCUUGACACUGAACAUUGAGCCUUGAUGUGUAGGAUAGGUGGGAGGCUUUGAAGCGUGGACGCCAGUCUGCGUGGAGCCAACCUUGAAAUACCACCCUUUAAUGUUUGAUGUUCUAACGUUGGCCCCUUAUCGGGGUUGCGGACAGUGUCUGGUGGGUAGUUUGACUGGGGCGGUCUCCUCCCAAAGAGUAACGGAGGAGCACGAAGGUUAGCUAAUCCUGGUCGGACAUCAGGAGGUUAGUGCAAUGGCAUAAGCUAGCUUGACUGCGAGCGUGACGGCGCGAGCAGGUGCGAAAGCAGGUCAUAGUGAUCCGGUGGUUCUGAAUGGAAGGGCCAUCGCUCAACGGAUAAAAGGUACUCCGGGGAUAACAGGCUGAUACCGCCCAAGAGUUCAUAUCGACGGCGGUGUUUGGCACCUCGAUGUCGGCUCAUCACAUCCUGGGGCUGAAGUAGGUCCCAAGGGUAUGGCUGUUCGCCAUUUAAAGUGGUACGCGAGCUGGGUUUAGAACGUCGUGAGACAGUUCGGUCCCUAUCUGCCGUGGGCGCUGGAGAAUUGAGGGGGGCUGCUCCUAGUACGAGAGGACCGGAGUGGACGCAUCACUGGUGUUCGGGUUGUCAUGCCAAUGGCAUUGCCCGGUAGCUAAAUGCGGAAGAGAUAAGUGCUGAAAGCAUCUAAGCACGAAACUUGCCCCGAGAUGAGUUCU